rnacentral:rRNA from 1 species
UACGGGGGGGGCAAGCGUUGUUCGGAAUUACUGGGCGUAAAGGGCUCGUAGGCGGUUUGUCGCGUCGGGAGUGAAAACCAGGUGCUUAACACCUGGCUUGCUUUCGAUACGGGCAGACUAGAGGCAUGCAGGGGAGAACGGAAUUCCUGGUGUAGCGGUGAAAUGCGCAGAUAUCAGGAGGAACACCGGUGGCGAAGGCGGUUCUCUGGGCAUGUCCUGACGCUGAGGAGCGAAAGUGUGGGGAGCGAACAGG